rnacentral:rRNA from 1 species
UACGUAGGGGGCUAGCGUUGUCCGGAAUCAUUGGGCGUAAAGAGCGUGUAGGCGGUCCGGUAAGUCCGUUGUGAAAGUCAGGGGCUCAACCCUUGAAUGCCGGCGGAUACUGUCGGGCUAGAGUCCGGAAGAGGCGAGUGGAAUUCCCGGUGUAGCGGUGAAAUGCGCAGAUAUCGGGAGGAACACCUAUGGCGAAGGCAGCUCGCUGGGACGAUACUGACGCUGAGACGCGAAAGCGUGGGGAGCAAACAGG